UACGUAGGGGGCAAGCGUUGUCCGGAUUUAUUGGGCGUAAAGAGCUCGUAGGUGGUUCGGUAAGUCGGAUGUGAAAUCUCCAGGCUCAACCUGGAGGGGUCAUUCGAUACUGCCGUGACUAGAGGUCGGUAGGGGAGUGUGGAAUUCCUGGUGGAGCGGUGAAAUGCGCAGAUAUCAGGAGGAACACCAGUGGCGAAGGCGGCACUCUGGGCCAGUACUGACGCUGAGGAGCGAAAGCGUGGGGAGCGAACAGG
rnacentral:rRNA from 1 species